CUGCCACCCUGGAUGGGCGGAGCUAGCUAAUCAAUAAAGGCAGCCAGCUCACCUGUGGCAAAUCCUUUCCCCAAUGAACAAAGAAGCUGGCUGGCCUCAUGCAACUCCUGAGCACCAAUUGUUUGUCUGAGGAAAUGAUCAAUCAACCAGACAACAAUUAGGAAUAACAAGAAUCAACAAGUUACAA